GAUGAACGCUGGCGGCGUGCCUAAUACAUGCAAGUCGAGCGAACGGACGAGAAGCUUGCUUCUCUGAUGUUAGCGGCGGACGGGUGAGUAACACGUGGAUAACCUACCUAUAAGACUGGGAUAACUUCGGGAAACCGUAGCUAAUACCGGAUAAUAUUUUGAACCGCAUGGUUCAAACGUGAAAGACGGUCUUGCUGUCACUUAUAGAUGGAUCCGCGCUGCAUUAGCUAGUUGGUAAGGUAACGGCUUACCAAGGCAACGAUGCAUAGCCGACCUGAGAGGGUGAUCGGCCACACUGGAACUGAGACACGGUCCAGACUCCUACGGGAGGCAGCAGUAGGGAAUCUUCCGCAAUGGGCGAAAGCCUGACGGAGCAACGCCGCGUGAGUGAUGAAGGUCUUCGGAUCGUAAAACUCUGUUAUUAGGGAAGAACAUAUGUGUAAGUAACUGUGCACAUCUUGACGGUACCUAAUCAGAAAGCCACGGCUAACUACGUG
rnacentral:rRNA from 1 species